rnacentral:lncRNA from 1 species
AAAAGAAAGAUACAAUCAAAGUUAACCCUGAUUCAUAUGCCUUAAGCCUAGGUAGUUAACAGUGGACACUUAUCAAUAGGCCUGUGGUCAUACCCCAAUAAGCAUAAUGGAAUUUAUGAUUCUAUUCAGUUACACAGAUAAUUAGGGUAUUCUUUUAGGCAGCAGAGAGUCUAGGUACGAGCCCUGGGGCUCUUCCAUCCAGGGGGCCUGGUUUUCCAGUUGGUAUGUCGUUUCCAUAGAUACUGGGCAUAGAGCUCAAAGUCCACAGUCCGGCCCAAGAUGGAGUCCUGCUUUCAAGAUGGAGCCUGCGGCCUAUAUGCUCCCCACUGCAGUUAAAGUUGCAGGUGUCACUCCCUGGAUCCUCCACAUGAGGGUGAAGAGAGCAUACCACGCAGACCCAGAGGACGCUGUGCGGACUACACAACAGGACCCCACUGAUCCCCGUGAAACCAAGAUCAUCUUAAAGAAGAAACAGAGAUGAAGCUCUACAAUCAACUGCUGCUACAAGGACUUGCUGACCCAAGGAGGAGAAGGUGAAAAUGAGCAGGACCACGUAAGGAGAAGCUCCAGUCAUCAUGUCAAGACACAAUCUCUUUCUUCAGAGUACACACUCCUUCAAGCUUCCAGCUCAAGUCAAAGAGUUAUUCAGGAGUCCAUGAAAGAGGCAGCCAAGUAAGGUCAGUUGCUAGUAGACGGAUCUACUCACUUCAGCUGAGGAUUCUCAUGUAAAAAUAUGGGUGUGGUGAGAGGAUGACCUUUCAUU